rnacentral:rRNA from 1 species
CCUACGGGAGGCAGCAGUGAGGAAUAUUGGUCAAUGGCCGUAAGGCUGAACCAGCCAAGUAGCGUGAGGGAAGAAUGCCCUAUGGGUUUUACACCUCUUUUAUGCGGGGAUAAAGGUGUCCACGUGUUGAUGUUUGCAGGUACCGCAUGAAUAAGGACAGGCUAAUUCUGUGCCAGCAGCCGCGGUAUACGGAAGGUCCGGGCGUUAUCCGGUUGUUUUGGGUUUAAAGGGAGCGUAGGCCGGUCUGUAAGCGUGCCGUGAAAUUUUGUGGUUAAACCAUGAGAGUGCGGCGCGUACUGGGGACCUUGAGUGCGCAGAAGGCAGGCGGAAUUCGUGGUGUAGCGGUGAAAUGCUUAGAUAUUACGAAGAACCCCGAUUGCGAAGGCAGCCUGCCGCAGCGUUACUGACGCUGAAGCUCGAAAGCGCGGGUAUCGAACAGGAUUAGAUACCCCUGUAGUC